rnacentral:rRNA from 1 species
UACGGGGGGGGGCAAGCGUUGUUCGGAAUUACUGGGCGUAAAGGGCUCGUAGGCGGAUUGUUAAGUCAGGGGUGAAAUCCUGGAGCUCAACUCCAGAACUGCCUUUGAUACUGGCGAUCUCGAGUCCGGGAGAGGUGAGUGGAACUGCGAGUGUAGAGGUGAAAAUUCGUAGAUAUUCGCAAGAACACCAGUGGCGAAGGCGGCUCACUGGCCCGGUACUGACGCUGAGGUGCGAAAAGCGUGGGGGAGCAA